rnacentral:rRNA from 1 species
GAUGAACGCUGGCGGCGUGCCUAAUACAUGCAAGUCGAGCGAACAGACGCGGAGCUUGCUCCGCUGACGUUAGCGGCGGACGGGUGAGUAACACGUGGAUAACCUACCUAUAAGACUGGGAUAACUUCGGGAAACCGGCGAUAAUACCGGAGAAUAUCUUGAACCGCAUGGGUCAAUAGUGAAAGACGGUUUUGCUGUCACUAAUAGAUGGAUCUGGGCCGCAUUAGCUAGUUGGUACGUUAACGGCUUACGAAGGCAACGAUGCGUAGCCGAGCUGAGGGGGGGAUCGCCCACACUGGAGGUGAAACACGGUCCAGACUCCUACGGGAGGCAGCAGUAGGGAAUCUUCCGCAGUGGGCGAGAGCCUGACGGAGCAACGCCACGUGAGUGAUAGAGGUGUUCGGUGCGUGAAACUCUGUUAUUAGGGAAGAACAAAUGUGUAAGUAACUAUGCACGUCUUGACGGUACCUAAUCAGAAAGCCCCGGCUAACUACGUG